UGGGGGAUAUUGCACAAUGGGCGAAAGCCUGAUGCAGCGACGCCGCGUGGGGGAUGAAGGCUUUCGGGUUGUAAACCUCUUUCGCUAUCGAACAAGGCCCGCUUAGGGUGGGUUGAGGGUAGGGGGAGAAGAAGCGCCGGCUAACUACGUGCCAGCAGCCGCGGUAAUACGUAGGGCGCGAGCGUUGUCCGGAAUUAUUGGGCGUAAAGGGCUUGUAGGCGGCUUGUUGCGCCUGCUGUGAAAACGCGGGGCUUAACUUCGGGCGUGCAGUGGGUACGGGCAGGCUUGAGUGUGGUAGGGGUGACUGGAAUUCCAGGUGUAGCGGUGGAAUGCGCAGAUAUCUGGAGGAACACCGAUGGCGAAGGCAGGUCACUGGGCCAUUACUGACGCUGAGGAGCGAAAGCAUGGGUAGCGAACAGG
rnacentral:rRNA from 1 species